AUGAACGCUGGCGGCGUGCCUAAUACAUGCAAGUCGAGCGAACGGACGAGAAGCUUGCUUCUCUGAUGUUAGCGGCGGACGGGUGAGUAACACGUGGAUAACCUACCUAUAAGACUGGGAUAACUUCGGGAAACCGGAGCUAAUACCGGAUAAUAUUUUGAACCGCAUGGUUCAAAAGUGAAAGACGGUCUUGCUGUCACUUAUAGAUGGAUCCGCGCUGCAUUAGCUAGUUGGUAAGGUAACGGCUUACCAAGGCAACGAUGCAUAGCCGACCUGAGAGGGUGAUCGGCCACACUGGAACUGAGACACGGUCCAGACUCCUACGGGAGGCAGCAGUAGGGAAUCUUCCGCAAUGGGCGAAAGCCUGACGGAGCAACGCCGCGUGAGUGAUGAAGGUCUUCGGAUCUUAAAACUCUGUUAUUAGGGAAGAACAUAUGUGUAAGUAACUGUGCACAUCUUGACGGUACCUAAUCAGAAAGCCACGGCUAACUACGUG
rnacentral:rRNA from 1 species